CCCUUAGAUGUUCUGGGCCGCACGCGUGCUUCACUGAGUGGAUCAGCGGGUCAGGUUGCGCGAAAGCGUUUCCUAAUCUUUAAAUCCGCUCGUGAUGGGGAUUGACGGUUGCAAUUUUCUGUCAUGAACGAGGAAUACCUUGUAAGCGCGGGUCAUCAUCCCGCGCUGAAUACGUCCCUGCCCUUUGUACACACCGCCCGUCGCUCCUACCGAUUGAGUGGUCCGGUGAGGCUUUGGGAUCUGAGCGGAAAGAGCGUUUCGCUGUUUCUGCUCGGAAAACUCAGUCGAACCUUAUCAUUUAGAGGAAGGAGAAGUCGUAACA
rnacentral:rRNA from 1 species